GAUGAACGCUGGCGGCGUGCCUAAUACAUGCAAGUAGAACGCUGAAGGAAGGAGCUUGCUCUUUCCGGAUGAGCUGCGAACGGGUGAGUAACGCGUAGGUAACCUGCCUGGUAGCGGGGGAUAACUAUUGGAAACGAUAGCUAAUACCGCAUAACAGUAGAUGUUGCAUGACAACUAUUUGAAAGGGGCAAUUGCUCCACUACCAGAUGGACCUGCGUUGUAUUAGCUAGUUGGUGAGGUAACGGCUCACCAAGGCGACGAUACAUAGCCGACCUGAGAGGGUGAUCGGCCACACUGGGACUGAGACACGGCCCAGACUCCUACGGGAGGCAGCAGUAGGGAAUCUUCGGCAAUGGACGGAAGUCUGACCGAGCAACGCCGCGUGAGUGAAGAAGGUUUUCGGAUCGUAAAGCUCUGUUGUAAGAGAAGAACGAGUGUGAGAGUGGAAAGUUCACACUGUGACGGUAUCUUACCAGAAAGGGACGGCUAACUACGUG
rnacentral:rRNA from 1 species